GAUGAACGCUGGCGGCGUGCCUAAUACAUGCAAGUCGAGCGAACAGACGAGGAUCUUGCUCCUCUGACGUUAGCGGCGGACGGGUGAGUAACACGUGUAUAACCUACCUAUCUGACUGGUAUAACUUCGGGAAACCGGAGCUAAUACCGGAUAAUCUAUUGAACCGCAUGGUUCAAUAGUGAAAGACGGUUUUGCUGUCACUUAUAGAUGGAUCCGCGCCGCAUUAGCUAGUUGGUAAGGUCACGGCUUUCCAAGGCAACGAUGCGUAGCCGACGUGAGAGGGGGAUAGGCCACAUGGGAACUGAGACACGGUCAAGGCGCCUGCGAGACGGAGCAGUAGGGUAUGGGACGCAGUGGGGGAAAACAUGACGGAGCGGCGCGGAGUGUGAGACGGAGAUCUUGGGAGCGUAAAACUCUGUUAUUGGGGAAAAACAAAUGUGUAAGGAGCUGUGGAGGUAUUGACGGUAACUAAUCAAGAAGCCCCGGCUAACUACGUG
rnacentral:rRNA from 1 species